UAUAAGGGAUUUUGAGUUUUUUUGCUUGCAACGUUUGACCACUCGUCUUAUUCAAAUUUUUUUUAAAUUAUUAUUUAUUUUAUUUGUGACUUACUUUAUUAUCUAUAGUAGUUUAAGCACAACUUUUCGUUUUUUAUAUUUGGGAAAAAAAUUGAAUAAGACGAAUGGUCAAACGUUGCAAGUAAAAACUCAAAAUCCCUUGUAUC
rnacentral:pre_miRNA from 1 species